ACAUUGGUGGUUCAGUGGUAGAGUUCUCGCCCUCUAUAGGGGAGACCUGGGUUCAAUUCCUGGCCAGUGCA
rnacentral:tRNA from 1 species